AGAGUUUGAUCCUGGCUUAGGAUGAACGCUAGCGGCAGGCCUAAUACGUGCAAGGUCGUACGGGAAGGAGCCUUUCGGGGCUUCUGAGAGUGGCGCACGGGUGCGCAACGCGUAUGCAACAACCCCCGACAGGCGGAUAGCCGGUGGAAACGCCGGAUAAUACGCCCUGGUUCCCCCAGGGUGGCAUCACAAUGGGGAUAAAGCCGAGAGGCGGCCGGGGACGGGCAUGCGUCCCAUUAGGUAGUCGGCGGGUAACGGCCCACCGAGCCUACGAUCAGUAGGGGUUCUGAGAGGAAGGUCCCCCACAUUGGUACUGAGACACGGACCAAACUCCUACGGGAGGCAGCAGUGAGGAAUAUUGGUCAAUGGGCGAGAGCCUGAACCAGCCAAGUAAGCGUGCAGGAUGACGGCCCUAUGGGUUGUAAACUGCUUUUAUCGGGGAUAAAGUGAGGGACGCGUCCCUUUUUGUAGGUACCCGAUGAAUAAGGACCGGCUAAUUCCGUGCCAGCAGCUGC
rnacentral:rRNA from 1 species